GGCUAAUCUGAUUGCAAUGGUGUUUACAACUAAUUGAUGACUAGUUACAGAUUUCUUUGUUCCUUCUCUACUCCCACUGCUUCACUUGACUAGCCUUAA
rnacentral:Y_RNA from 1 species